rnacentral:rRNA from 1 species
ACGCUGGCGGCAUGCCUUACACAUGCAAGUCGAACGGCAGCACGGAGCUUGCUCUGGUGGCGAGUGGCGAACGGGUGAGUAAUAUAUCGGAACGUACCCUAGAGUGGGGGAUAACGUAGCGAAAGUUACGCUAAUACCGCAUACGAUCUAAGGAUGAAAGUGGGGGAUCGCAAGACCUCAUGCUCGUGGAGCGGCCGAUAUCUGAUUAGCUAGUUGGUAGGGUAAAAGCCUACCAAGGCAUCGAUCAGUAGCUGGUCUGAGAGGACGACCAGCCACACUGGAACUGAGACACGGUCCAGACUCCUACGGGAGGCAGCAGUGGGGAAUUUUGGACAAUGGGCGAAAGCCUGAUCCAGCAAUGCCGCGUGAGUGAAGAAGGCCUUCGGGUUGUAAAGCUCUUUUGUCAGGGAAGAAACGGUGAAAGCUAAUAUCUUUUGCUAAUGACGGUACCUGAAGAAUAAGCACCGGCUAACUACGUGCCAGCAGCCGCGGUAAUACGUAGGGUGCAAGCGUUAAUCGGAAUUACUGGGCGUAAAGCGUGCGCAGGCGGUUUUGUAAGUCUGAUGUGAAAUCCCCGGGCUCAACCUGGGAAUUGCAUUGGAGACUGCAAGGCUAGAAUCUGGCAGAGGGGGGUAGAAUUCCACGUGUAGCAGUGAAAUGCGUAGAUAUGUGGAGGAACACCGAUGGCGAAGGCAGCCCCCUGGGUCAAGAUUGACGCUCACGCACGAAAGCGUGGGGAGCAAAC